UACGUAGGGUGCGAGCGUUAAUCGGAAUUACUGGGCGUAAAGUGUGCGCAGGCGGCCGCGCAAGUCGAGUGUGAAAUCCCCGAGCUUAACUUGGGAAUUGCGCUCGAAACUACGUGGCUGGAGUGUGGCAGAGGAAGGUAGAAUUCCACGUGUAGCGGUGAAAUGCGCAGAUAUCAGGAGGAACACCGAUUGCGAAGGCAGCUCGCUGGGACGUUACUGACGCUGAGACGCGAAAGCGUGGGGAGCAAACAGG
rnacentral:rRNA from 1 species